AGCAUUUUUACCUGGCGUGCAAAAUAAAAGCACACUCCGAGUCUUUUAAUUAAAGCCGUCUACUGAAGGCAUGUGCGACUCGUCCUCGUCAGCGGGUGAAAGAAACACUUCCAGCCAUAGCGGCUGCUGUUCUGAGGAGACGGAGAGAAGAAGGGAUUUAAAAAACUGUUCUAGGUCGAGCUCUCCCACUAACAAAGACUCUGAGUCUCUCCCAGCAGGAUGUUCUGAAGAGAGAACUGGAGACAUAUAUGCUUCAGACUCUUCUAGGUCGAGCUCUCCCACUAACAAAGACUCAGAGUCUCUCCCAGCAGGAUGUCCUGGAAAGAGAACUGGAGACGUAUACGCUUCAUACUUUUCUAGGUCGAGCUCUCCCACUAACAAAGACUCAGAGUCUCUCCCAGCAGGAUGUUCUGGAGAGGGAACUGGAGAUGUAUAUAUUUUAGAUAAAGACUCUUCUAGAUCAAGCUCUCCUUCUAUCAAAGACUCAGAGUCUCUCCCAGCUGGAGUGGGAACUGGGGAUGGAUAUGCUUCAGGUAAGAUCUGUAAGGAGAUCAGCUCCAGUAGGUCUGAGAGCAGCAGUGUGGAGGUCAGAUGCAGACCUCAGGUCAGAUAUAAGACCAGCGCUCAGCUGAUUAAGAAGAAGCUGGACCAGAUCAAAGCUGAGCUGCAGAAACUUUCAGAGCAGCACCUGCGUCUGCGUCCAGAACGGAAGGCGUAUCAUCCUUUUGUGUGGAACAGCCUGAGUCCGUACAGAGACACGGCCCAGAUCGACUAUCUGCUCGCCGGGGCUUCUGACCCCCGCGCCCCUGAUGGAGGACCCUUAAUGAGGUCAGGAAGCGCCCGCCUGUAGAUCUGACCCGACCUGUCAGUCUGUGCCGGUGUGAAAAAUGACUCGCAUGUAUGAUUUUCACUUUAAUAAGCAUAAAGUUGGAGCGUAGCAUGGUUAAUGACUUCGUUUUAUGGGAAUCAGCCCACAGAACUGCUCUAUACUCCACCCACAGAAAUGACUAUAUUAUAUUACACUCUUCUGGCACCAUGCUCCCACUGCCCUGCUAAAAUUCACUCCAUAGUGUUGCUUAUUCUUGCAGUGAGAACAGCAAACAUGAAAUCCUCUUUAAAUUAAGUUUAAGUAUCUGAAAUUUAUUUUUAUACAUUGCUCUCAGGAUUUUAUAAAAACAUUUGACUGAUUUUUAAUUAAGUAAUUGGAUCUACUGAACAUUUCUCCUUCCAUUUUUUAGGUAUUCUAGCUUAUUUUAAGCAUUAUUUCUUGAGAAAACUUUAGUUAUCAUCAUUUCCUCAAUUAAUCAAAAUGAUGUGUCAAUAGAAUUAAAU
rnacentral:lncRNA from 1 species